rnacentral:misc_RNA from 1 species
AUUUAAUGCAGUUUUUAAGUUAAAAACCCAUGAAACCUGGAAAUCGCAUAAACUGCAGGGAGUGAGAAGGCAAAAAGGUCUUUCUAUACUAAACAUGGUUAUGGGUGUUUUUGAAGUGGAUUUUAAGGUUUUAUCUGUUUGUUUUGGAAGUUAAUACUCCAAUUAUGAAUACAAGCAUUAGCUGAACACUUUCGUAUGAAGAUUUUUUUUUUCUUUUAAAACACGUAGGAAACUACUGGUUUUAGCCGCUUUGUGAUAUGAAUUUGUUAAGAUAGAACUUGAUAGGGCAUUCUUUCUAACUCAACAGAAAUCUCGAGUACAUGGGUUAGCUAUAAGUGUUACUGAAAGUUUUCAAGCUUUUACAAUCACACCUACGUUUUAGAAUCAAAUACGUUUGUUUGCCGUACAUCAUGUUUUGCUUGUUUGAUUCAACAGCUUCGGGUGCUUUACGUUGUG